rnacentral:rRNA from 1 species
AUUGAACGCUGGCGGCAGGCCUAACACAUGCAAGUAGAACGAGUGGCGGACGGGUGAGUAAUGUCUGGGAAACUGCCCGAAGGAGGGGGAUAAAUACUGGAAACGGUAGCUAAUACCGCAUACCAUCGGAUGUGCCCAGAUGGGAUUAGAUAGUGGGUGGGGUAAUGGCUCACCUAGGGGACGCUCCCUAGCUGGGCUGAGAGGAUGACCCGCCACACUGGAACUGUGACACGGUCCAGACUCCUACGGUAGGCAGCAGUGGGGAAUAUUGCACAAUGGGCGCAAGCCUGCUGCAGCCAUGCCGCGUGUAUGAAGAAGGCCUUCGGGUUGUAAAGUACUUUCAGCUGGGAGGCGUUACUCGCAGAAGAAGCACCGGCUAACUCCGUGCCAGCCGCCGCGGUAAUUC